CAAAGAGUACAUUGUAUUAGCUUUAAUUUGAUUUAAAGAAGUAGGUUUAUAAAAGUCUAGUUUUUUGGAACAUUAUCAAACACUGAAAAGAUUAACAUUUGUUAUGGUAUAUGGAAUGGUUUUUACAUUGAGGACUAUGUUGUUGGAAAAUUCAGUAAAACUGUAUCAUACUAAUAGUGUACAUAAUUUUUUAUAUUUUGUAUUGUUUUAUUU